AGUAUGAAGAAGCUUGCUUAGAGAUACUUAGUGGCGGACGGGUGAGUAACGCGUGAGGAGCUGUCCUAUGCAGGGGGACAACAGCUGGAAACGGCUGCUAAUACCCCGAUAAGCCGAGAGGUAAAAGGAUCAAUCCGGCAGAGGAGGUACUCGCGUCCUAUCAGCUAGUAGGUGAGGUAACGGCUCACCUAGGCGAAGACGGGUAGCCGGCCUGAGAGGGCGAACGGCCACACUGGAACUGAGAUACGGUCCAGACUCCUACGGGAGGCAGCAGUGGGGAAUAUUGGGCAAUGGGGGAAACCCUGGAACCCCCAGCGACGCCGCGUGGGUGAAGAAAUCCUUCGGGAUGUAAAGCCCUGUUGUAUGGGAAGAGCGGAAGACGGUACCAUACGAGGAAGCCCCGGCAAACUACGUGCCAGCAGCAGC
rnacentral:rRNA from 1 species